CUUGUCAAUCCUCUUUCCCGUCCACUCUUCCUGUCAAUGGUUUGAUUUGAAUGACCAAUGGCGGAUUAGUGGAUGUGAAGGAAGACUAG
rnacentral:pre_miRNA from 1 species